rnacentral:rRNA from 1 species
GACGAACGCUGGCGGCGUGCUUAACACAUGCAAGUCGAACGGAGCGAAUGAAAGCUUGCUUUUAUGAGCUUAGUGGCAAACGGGUGAGUAACACGUAGACAACCUGCCGACAGGAUGGGGACAACAUUCCGAAAGGAAUGCUAAUACCGAAUGAAGCGGAGGAGAGGCAUCUCUCUUCCGUGAAAGAUGGCCUCUAUUUAUAAGCUAUCACCUGUCGAUGGGUCUGCGUCUGAUUAGCUGGUUGGUGAGGUAACGGCUCACCAAGGCGACGAUCAGUAGCCGGUCUGAGAGGAUGAACGGCCACAUUGGGACUGAGACACGGCCCAGACUCCUACGGGAGGCAGCAGUGGGGAAUCUUCCGCAAUGGGCGCAAGCCUGACGGAGCAACGCCGCGUGAGUGAAGAAGGUCUUCGGAUCGUAAAGCUCUGUUGACGGGGACGAACGUGCGAAGGGUGAAUAAUCCUUUGAAUGACGGACCU